AGAGGGUGCAAACGUUGUUCGGAAUCACUGGGCAUAAAGCGCGCGUAGGCGGCCAUGUAAGUGUGGAGUGAAAGCCCACGGCUCAACCGUGGAACUGCUUUGCUUACUGCAUGGCUCGAGGAUGGUAGGGGAGAGCGGAACUCCUGGUGGAGCGGUGAAAUGCGUAGAUAUCAGGAGGAACACCGGUGGCGAAGGCGGCUCUCUGGUCCAUUUCUGACGCUGAGGUGCGAAAGCCAGGGUAGCGAACGGGAUUAGAUACCCCGGUAGUCCUGGCCCGUAAACGAUGGGCACUAACUAAAGGCUCUGUCCUGAGAGUCUUUGGUGAAGCAAAUGUGAUAAGUGCCCCCGCCUGGGGAGUAUGGUCGCAAGGCUA
rnacentral:rRNA from 1 species